AAUGUACGCAUCCGUGUAAACAUUUUUUUUUUUUUUAAACUUCACGGCUCGCUGUUUAAAGUUUAAACGCAGUUUUCAUUCAACUCUAUUUUCCAUGCACAUGCUGGAUGUUCCCGAAUGCUUUUUUUCCCCUCCUGUGGACAGAAAUUAAGACUUUCUGCCCGUGGAUUUGGGGAGGAACUCGUGGUUUUGUGCAAGCAAGGAGCAUUUCCUAAGUGGAUCCGGCGAGCAGAUACCGACAGAUCGCAGACGAACGCUUAUGGUGCCAGGAUCUGUACGGCCCCCAGCAGAAGACUCCGCCCACUUUGAAUGCUAUGCCAUUAGAUCAGAUGUGAGCAAGUAAGAUCAAGGUGUCAAAUUGCCCUUUACCUUACUCUUUAGUAUACAUGUGAUUAAAAAGAUUAAAGGUUGUGUCUGAAAUGAGUAUUUAUUUCAAUCAUAUAAUAUAGAUUUACAUUUACAUUAGAUAUAUUUGUGUUAAAGAAAUAUCCACCCUGAAGUUCAGAGCAGAGUUACUGUCAAGACAAAAAGGCCUUUGAAUUCUCGUGGACUUUUCUGUUUUGUGAAACAGAGCCUGUUGCUGUCUUCUUAAACCGUAUUGUAAUCACUUAAGCACUGAUUUUGUGAUAAGAAUCUUCUAGAAUGAAGAAAUGCUGAAGCUGGUAGCUAAUUGCAGACUCAUUAUACUAGCUGAUAGGACAUCUGAAAGUCUGGAAAAUUUUGUGGAAAAAUUAGAUGCCAAAAUCACAUCUCCCAUGUAUGUAUGGAAACUCAAGAUGCAUAAAGCCAGAAGCAAAUUAAAGUGACAAAGGAGGUAGGUAAGGAGAGGAGAGGAAUUCUGUGGCUGUGUUUCUGACAGUAGUUCAGCUGAAGUAUUUCUGAAACCAGCCCCUUUUGUUUCCUUAUGCUGUGAUUAUGUGCACCCGCUCGCAGUUUUAAAGGCUCUCUGCCAUCGAUGUACAUGUGCGUCACGAGAAAAUGGCUUCAGCAGAUGGCUUCUCCUUCUCUCUUUCCUUCUGAAGAAGUGAAAGGUGCUACUACCUGACUGUCAGUGGAAUAAGUUGUAGUGCAGCAGCAAACAGACAGCCUGAGAGAAAGCACUUGACUACCGUUAUGGAUGUGUCCAUUAACAGCCUUUGAUGACGGGUCAAGUAGUGACAGCAGCUGAUGUGAUGAGAGAGUGUGUGAGUCUGUGUGUUAGUGUGAUCUGCCAUUCUUGCCUUCACAGUUUAGAGAGCUGCUUUUCUGAGGGGUCUCCACGUGAAGGGACGCAGCAGCUAAUGAUGUCAUGAUGUCUUAAUUCAGAGAUGUGGCUUUGGAGCUGUGAGGAGGGUUUCAGAAGAUCCUGUAGGGGUCAUGGAACCGCCGGCUUAAGGUGCUGUCACAUUUACAGUCAUUUCAGCUGAAAUCUGUGUGGUAUGGAAUUUUGUAACACAAAAUUCCCCACGCAGAUGUGGCUCAUGUUCAGAUUGAUUACACUAAUUUGAUGGUUUCACCAAAAGAAAACUGCUUGGUUUGAAGUGACCCCCCCCCACAUCCCUCGUUCUUUUAAUAUGAAUCCAGGUGAUCAGGAAUUUUUUUGUGACAUUAGACAAUGGACCAUUUUUGCCUACAAAAUUUUGUGGAAAUUUUGCUACUGUGACCACACCUUAAUGAAAAAAUCUUAACAAAGUAGUAUGAACUCACUAGAUUUCGCACUCUAUUUAGUUCCAUUCAUAGACGUUUCAUUUUCUGCUUAAGGCUUGGUGAACUCUAACUUGAAAAUUUGUGUAGUGCAACAAAAGUAAUUCGAACUUCAAUAAACUGAACUGAAGUAAUUCUAUGUGCCUUAAC
ensembl:lncRNA